rnacentral:rRNA from 1 species
AUACGUAGGGGGCGAGCGUUGUCCGGAAUGAUUGGGCGUAAAGGGCGCGUAGGCGGCCCGGUAAGUCUGGAGUGAAAGUCCUGUUUUUAAGAUGGGAAUUGCUUUGGAUACUGUCGGGCUUGAGUGCAGGAGAGGUAAGUGGAAUUCCCAGUGUAGCGGUGAAAUGCGUAGAGUUUGGGAGGAACACCAGUGGCGAAGGCGACUUGCUGGACUGUAACUGACGCUGAGGCGCGAAAGUGUGGGGAGCAAACAGGAUUAGAUACCCUGGUAGUCCACACUGUAAACGAUGAAUGCUAGGUGUAGGGGGUAUCGACCCCUUCUGUGCCGCAGUCAACACAAUAAGCAUUCCGCCUGGGGAGUACGGCCGCAAGGUUGAAACUCAAAUGAAUUGACGGGG